UACGUAGGGGCAAGCGUUGUCCGGAUUUAUUGGGCGUAAAGAGCGUGUAGGCGGCUUUACAGGUCCGUUGUGAAAACUCGAGGCUCAACCUCGAGACGCCGGUGGAAACCGUAAAGCUAGAGUCCGGAAGAGGAGAGUGGAAUUCCUGGUGUAGCGGUGAAAUGCGCAGAUAUCAGGAGGAACACCCGUGGCGAAAGCGGCCUCUCUGGGACGGUACUGACGCUGAGACGCGAAAGCGUGGGAGCAAACAGGAUUGAGAUA
rnacentral:rRNA from 1 species